rnacentral:rRNA from 1 species
GUGUCAGCAGCCGCGGUAAUACGUAGGGGGCGAGCGUUGUCCGGAUUUAUUGGGCGUAAAGCGCGGGCAGGCGGCAGCGUAAGUCGGCCGUGAAAGCGCCGGGCUCAACUCGGCGAGGACGGGCGAGACUGGGCUGCUCGAGCAAGGCAGAGGGCGGUGGAAUUCCGGGUGUAGUGGUGGAAUGCGUAGAGCUCCGGAGGAACACCAGUGGCGAAGGCGGCCGCCUGGGCCUUUGCUGACGCUGAGCCGCGAAAGCGUGGGGAGCGAGCCGGAUUAGAUACCCGGGUAGUCCACGCCGUAAACGAUGGGCACUAGGUGUCGGGGGUAUCGACCCCCUCGGUGCCGGCGCUAACGCAAUAAGUGCCCCGCCUGGGGAGUACGGCCGCAAGGCUAAA